rnacentral:misc_RNA from 1 species
GAUGAAGAACGUAGCGAAAUGCGAUAAGUAGUGUGAAUUGCAGAAUUCAGUGAAUCAUCGAAUCUUUGAACGCACAUUGCGCCCCUUGGUAUCCCGAGGGGCAUGCCUGUUCGAGCGUCAUUUCGCCACUCAAGCCUGGCUUGGUGUUGGGCGACGUCCCCUUUGGGGACGCGCCUCGAAACGCUCGGCGGCGUGGCACCGGCUUUAAGCGUAGCAGAAUCUUUCGCUUUGGAAGUCGGGGCCCCGUCUGCCGGAAGACCUACUCGCAAGGUUGACCUCGGAUCAGGCAGGGAUACCCGCUGAACUUAAGCAUAUCAAUAAGCGGAGGA